rnacentral:rRNA from 1 species
AGGAAGGUAGUGUAGUUAACACCUGCAUUAUUUGACGUUACCUACAGAAGAAAGCACCGGCUAACUCCGUGCCAGCAGCCGCGGUAAUACGGAGGGUGCGAGCGUUAAUCGGAAUUACUGGGCGUAAAGCGCAUGCAGGCGGCCUGUUAAGUCAGAUGUGAAAACCCGGGGCGUUAACCUCGGAAUUGCAUUUGAAACUGGCAGGCUAGAGUCUUGUAGAGGGGGGUAGGAAUUUCAGGUGUAGCGGUGAAAUGCGUAGAGAUCUGAAGGAAUACCAGUGGCGAAGGCGGCCCCCUCGGACAAAGACUGACGCUCAGAUGCGAAAGCGUGGGGAGCAAACAGGAUUAGAUACCCUGGUAG